rnacentral:rRNA from 1 species
AUUGAACGCUGGCGGCAGGCCUAACACAUGCAAGUCGAACGAGUGGCGGACGGGUGAGUAAUGUCUGGGAAACUGCCUGAUGGAGGGGGAUAACUACUGGAAACGGUAGCUAAUACCGCAUACCAUCAGAUGUGCCCAGAGUGGAUUAGCUAGUUGGUGGGGUAACGGCUCACCAAGUCGACGAUCCCUAGCUGGUCGUAGAGGAGGCCCAGCCACACGGGAACUGAGACAUGGUCCAGACGCCUACGGGAGGCAGCAGUGGGGAAUAUUGCACAAUGGGCGCAAGCCUGAUGCAGCCAUGCCGCUUGUAUGAAGAAGGCCUUCGGGUUGGAAAGUACUUUCAGCGGGGAGGCGUUACCCGCAGAAGAAGCACCGGCUAACUCCGUGCCAGCCGCCGCGGUAAUUC